UCUCUUGUAGACCAUUCUCUACACCUUUGCAUCGAAUCCAGCCGUGCUAUGGCUCCCUAAAUACCUGUGCAUUGGGAUUGCUGUGGAUACAGGCAUUCCCAUCUGUCUGUUGGUCUGACUCCGAGAGUAGAAGGUGUUGGUGGCAGCAGUGGAGGGAGACAGCAGGAGGAGUCACUUCAAUGAAGGAUGUUGUGAGCCUUGAUGUCCCUGUGUCAGCAGUGGUGAGAGACCAUCCCCUCUGGGUGCAGCUUGGCCGCUUGAGGGAUCAGGGUGAAGCCAGAGUGUCAGGUAUGGAAACCAUCACCCAUGAUGAAAGCAUCCGUGAAGAUACCGCUUUGGAGGGGUUCAGAUUGUAGAGAAGAAAAGAGGUUUUGAGAGCUCAUUACUGGAUCACUGAACUGCAUCAUUGAUCACACCAGUGCUUGCACUACCUUGAGGAGGACACUUGGUCAAAGAGUUUAAGAGAUUUGCCUGAAUCCAAGCAGCAGGUAAACACAGUGUUAUGGACUUGGACCCAGGUGGUCUGGCUCAAAUCAACU
rnacentral:lncRNA from 12 species